GACGAACGCUGGCGGCGUGCCUAAUACAUGCAAGUUGAGCGAUGAAGAUUGGUGCUUGCACCAAUUUGAAGAGCAGCGAACGGGUGAGUAACGCGUGGGGAAUCUGCCUUUGAGCGGGGGAUAACAUUUGGAAACGAAUGCUAAUACCGCAUAAUAACUUUAAACAUAAGUUUUAAGUUUGAAAGAUGCAAUUGCAUCACUCAAAGAUGAUCCCGCGUUGUAUUAGCUAGUUGGUGAGGUAAAGGCUCACCAAGGCGAUGAUACAUAGCCGACCUGAGAGGGUGAUCGGCCACGUUGGGACUGAGACACGGCCCAAACUCCUACGGGAGGCAGCAGUAGGGAAUCUUCGGCAAUGGACGAAAGUCUGACCGAGCAACGCCGCGUGAGUGAAGAAGGUUUUCGGAUCGUAAAACUCUGUUGGUAGAGAAGAACGUUGGUGAGAGUGGAAAGCUCAUCAAGUGACGGUAACUACCCAGAAAGGGACGGCUAACUACGUG
rnacentral:rRNA from 1 species